rnacentral:rRNA from 1 species
UACAGAGGGUGCGAGCGUUGUCCGGAAUCACUGGGCGUAAAGGGCGCGUAGGUGGUGGCUUAAGCGUGCGGUGAAAGCUCGGGGCUCAACCCCGAGUCGGCCGUGCGAACUGGGCUCACUGGAGCAUAGUAGAGGCAGGUGGAAUUCCGGGUGUAGUGGUGAAAUGCGUAGAGAUCAGGAGGAACACCGGUGGCGAAGGCGGCCCACUGGGCAGUCACUGACGCUGAGGCGCGAAAGCUCGGGGAGCGAACGGG